GCUUUCUGUCUGGUUUCUAGAUGGAGACUGACAGGAUCCUGGCUUGGGGGCCCUCCGGCAGGGCUGGCUGCUGGGCUGGCAGGCUCUGGCGCUCCCCUUCCCCAGAACCGACUUUGUCCCUGGCAGCCAUGGUGGCUGUACUAACUACAUUCUUCCUCCACCUUUGCACUAAGAAAAGCAAAUAAGCAGACCAAAGAACUGUUUGCAUUUGCCCCAGAUGCUCCCUGGCUGCAGGAAGAGCAGCCACCAACUUCCUCAGGAGGAAAAUUCGAUUGUGCACCGAGCGGCAGCGUGAAGAGACCGGGCCAAGCAGGCAGGGUGCUGCGGGUCAACAAGGUGCUGCUGUGCUCCUGAAGCCUUCAGGAUCCUCAGCCUGGGAGCUCAGGAAAGGGUGGGGCUCCAGCUCACCUGGCUUUCCGCCUUACUGAGCUCCAAAGACAGGCUUGUUCCAUGUCACGGAGAGCCCUUAUCCUGCGUGUGCGUCUCGCUCCCUGAGAAGCCUAUUUGUGCCUUGUCACCAGAAAUGUACCUUUUUUCUUCUCUCAUCUGUCCCUGACACCCCCAGCUUAUCUAGCCUGAAGAGAGGCUAUCAAAAUGCUAAUAGCCAGAUGGAAAACAAGGAAAAAUAAGCCCUUUCCCAUAAGGAAGCAAUACGGAUUUUGGAACCGAAGGCAUUUCUACUAUUCUCCCAACAUCAUUCCCUCCGCCCUGGGUGUGCUUCCAAGAGGGUCGGAGGUGUCACCUGCCGUACCCUAGGACUGGCUGAGGCAAAACACACCUGGAGAUUUCCUGUAAAUGAAAAAGUGAAUCACUAAAAGGGGGAGCUGUCAUCCCCCGGCAUUUUUCUGUGCACAGGCGACCUAGUGUUGGGAUGGCAGCAGAACUCGGACAACGGAGCCAACAUGCGGAGGGAAGCCCUCACCAGCCUGCAUUCGACUUGUGUGAGAGAGAAGUGAACAUUUACGUGCAAAGCCACUGAGCUUUUGUUGUUGUUCCUGCAGCACAGGGCAUUCUAACCUGCCUAAUACUGAAACGAGUACUGUUAGGCUCGAUCUGUAAAAAGGAGAACAUAAAAGGCCUGCAUAUUCUCUUUUA